AUUACUGCGAGAAAGCUGGGCUCCUGUUUAAAUGUACUGUAUAAGCGGUGUACACUUUACUCUCAUAUAUGUGCAGCUCGUCAGAAAGCAGCGUCCCCGUAGCAACGUAAUCCUCAGGACGCUUCUGUAAACAACAAAUAUGGCAUCCGAGAAAGAGUUUGCUAGCUGAGGUCCUGUGAGAUGGUAGUGCCCAGGAUCCUGAAUGACUCCACUGCUGCCACAGUGCUGUUUAGAAUGAAAUGAUCUUGACUAUCACCAUCAUACCGCUUUGUGCAUGUUUGCAGUGUACAAUAAAGGCCUGACUGUUGAGCACAGACACUGACGCAGACGUAAUCUCUGUAAAAUCAUGCACUGGAACACGGAACAGGUUACAACAUGAAUCAUCUUGAAUCUUCAUUAUUUGCUUUAACAUUUUUGUUCCUUUUGUCAUGUUAGUAUGGCACAUCUUUUGCUGAUACAUAACAGAAAGAAAGAGGAAAUAUGGCAUAUCCUUUAUU